rnacentral:rRNA from 1 species
UACAGAGGUCUCAAGCGUUGUUCGGAUUCAUUGGGCGUAAAGGGUGCGUAGGUGGCGGGGUAAGUCAGGUGUGAAAUCUCGGAGCUCAACUCCGAAACUGCACUUGAUACUGCCUUGCUCGAGUACUGGAGAGGAGAUUGGAAUUUACGGUGUAGCAGUGAAAUGCGUAGAUAUCGUAAGGAAGACCAGUGGCGAAGGCGACUCUCUGGGCUGUAACUGACGCUGAGGCGCGAAAGCGUGGGGAGCGAACAGG